rnacentral:rRNA from 1 species
AGUGAACGCUGGCGGCAGGCCUAACACAUGCAAGUCGAACGGCAGCACAAGAGAGCUUGCUCUCUGGGUGGCGAGUGGCGGACGGGUGAGGAAUGCAUCGGAAUCUGCCCAUUUGUGGGGGAUAACCUCGGGAAACCGGGACUAAUACCGCAUACGACCUACGGGUGAAAGCAGGGGAUCUUCGGACCUUGCGCAGAUGGAUGAGCCGAUGCCGGAUUAGCUAGUUGGAGGGGUAAAGGCCACCAAGGCGACGAUCCGUAGCUGGUCUGAGAGGAUGAUCAGCCACACUGGGACUGAGACACGGCCCAGACUCCUACGGGAGGCAGCAGUGGGGAAUAUUGGACAAUGGGCGCAAGCCUGAUCCAGCCAUGCCGCGUGUGUGAAGAAGGCCUUCGGGUUGUAAAGCACUUUUGUUGGGAAAGAAAAGCAGCCGGUUAAUACCCGGUUGUCAUGACGGUACCCAAAGAAUAAGCACCGGCUAACUUCGUG